ACACUAAAUGGGGGUAUUUUUCAAGCGUUUUGGGAGUUUACUCUUUGCUGGCAGUAGUAACUUCUUUUUAUUAUUAUUUAUUUAUUUAUUUAUUUUGACAGGCAGAGUGGACAGUGAGAGAGAGAAACAGAGAGAAAGGUCUUCCUUUGCCCUUGGUUCACCCUCCAAUGGCUGCCACGGCCAGCGCACCGUGCUGAUCCGAUGGCAGGAGCCAGGUGCUUCUCCUGGUCUCCCAUGAGAUGCAGGGCCCAAGUACUUGGGCCAUCCUCCACUGCACUCCCGGGCCACAGCAGAGAGCUGGCCUGGAAGAGGGGAAACUGGGAAAGAAUCCAGCGCCCCGACUGGGACUAGAACCCAGUGUGCCGGCGCCGCAAGACGGAGGGUUAGCCUAGUGAGCCACGGCGCCGGCCAGUAGUAAAUUCUUGAUUCCUGGUCCCACGGCCUGUCCCGGCAGCAGCACUGGGCAGUGAGUGUCUCAUGGGCUCUGCCACUCCGGGAGCAUCUGUCGUCAGGAGCUGAUCUCGCAGAAGGGACUUCGGCUACCACAGACUCUGUUCUGAUGGACGAGCUCAGGUUUCAGGCUUCCUUCCUGCUGCCCUUGCUCUAACCUCUCCUAAAGGCAAGGUGAACGCCGUCUCCCACUUGACACCUGCUGAGUAGGGCUGUGUCCGCUGCAGCCUCUGUCUGCCCUCAUUCUCGGGGCUUUCCCAAGAAGGACCUGUAGCAAGACCUGCCUAGUGGCCUGGGCGUUGGAAACGAUUCGGAACUACCCGGACAAUGGCCUGAUCUCUGGGCUACAGGGAAGGGAGCCGAGGUGGUGGUUCAGCAAGGCAGUUUUAAAAGCUGACCAGUCUUCGUGGCCUUUUUCGAUGCCAGUAGCAAGUCACCAAAGUAGGAGUUGCUGGCGGGAUUGUCCCAGGGUCAGUCAUGCAGAAGUGGCAGCAGCUUUGGCCAAUGGGAAGGAGAGCUGACUUGCUGGAGGGGCCCUAAUUGGCUGCUGGCGCAGUUGCGUGCCACCCGUGUCAAGGCUGUGCUGGCAGCCCCAGCGCGGCAGGCUUUCGGGAGACAUCUGGCAGCAAGGACCCUAGCACCUCUUUCUCGAAGGAGGCUCCCGGUCGAUUCAUCUGCGGGCCCACAAGGACAGGCUCGUUUAGCGGAGCCAACAUGUUUCAAAGAAAAGUAUAUUUUCAUUAACUAGCCUCAAAGCCGUAAUUAUAUGUUCAGAGAGCACAGUAAAAAUUUAUUUCUAAAUAUUUGGCAGGGAAAGGUUGAAGGCGGGGUGUGUGUGUGUCCAACAUGUUGCAUGUGUUUUAAAUAAACCAGCAUCUUCCCCUCUAAAAAGGAAGCAGGAAAUACAAUCGGAGACUUUGAAAUUUAAUUUUUAGCAACAGGAUGUGUUUCUAAAUACCGCUAACAUAUCAAAAGGGGAAUGUGUAGUUAAAGGCUUUAAAAUUGUUAUCAAAGCAAUUGCAAAGCAAAUGAGGUGGCUUUUUUUUUUUUAAUGGAGGGUGGUGUCUGAACACAGGAAACCAAAUCCCCAUCAAAGAUCAAAAGCAACGGUGGCGUCUUUGUAUGAGAUUCAGCUGAACUUGGAUGCUUCCCCCCACCCCCCAUCUGAUUCACAGUUUAUAAUCACAGUUAUCACAGAACCAUUAAAAGCCUAUUAACUCGAAUUCCCACAAUUCCUUGAGGGCAAGGGCAGAGAGAGAGCAAAAUAACUUUGGAUGUAAAUGGAAUACAACAUUCGACAGGAGAGAGUCUUUUAAUUAUGCCAGCGACGGAAGAUGUCUCACGGAUGUGUCUACCCUAGCAGAUGGUUGAGGAAGUGUUAGGUGCUCGUGCUGCUCCGGGAAGGAUUUCUCUGCGGAGAGGUGGGCGGAGGGUAGGGGGGCAGUGGAGAGGGUAGGGGGGCAGUGGGGAGGUGAGGGGGGCGUCCAGACCCUUCUGGGCGGGGAAGGGCAGAGGACUUGUUAAAAUGUAGCUGCUGGUUAGGCUGCCUGGAUACACUCUGUGUGGUGGUGGAUCGAAUCAGCCCGAGCAGAACCCUCAGCCGCAGUCCGUGGAGGCAGAAGCCGGGCAGAUACUCGGGCCAUUGUCAUGUGAGAAAUGUGAUGUCGUGUUUUUCCACCCUUCAGUGCCUCCGCUGACAUCUCCCCUAACAACGCUAUUAUGUGCUCGAGCCGGGGGACAGUGCAGUCAAUAAGCUGUCUUGUGGCUUCAGAUAAAACAGAGGGUUCUUAUCUUGCCGCAGAACAAUUAGAUGCAUCCAAUUACUUUUAAAAAAUCAUACAGCUGUGAGCUGUGUGCAUUCCAAAGGCACAGCCUGUCCCCAAAUCGCAGAGCCCAGCACCAUGAGGCAAACACCCCUGCACUGGGACGUGGGCCCUCAGUGCACCCCCCGUUUUUCUCUCUCUCUCUCUCUCACGCGCACACACACACACACACACACACACUCCUGCCGACUGUACCCAGACCUCACCUUGCUGUUGGUAAAACAAUACCGGAGUCGCCUUAGGAGAAAAGCACUUUCUCCCUGUUGUCUGAAAUAACUAAUUCCAAUCAAUCCACCCUCACCGUAAGUGAGUUCUUCCUGCAUGAAUUACCCACAUUCACUGCCCAGCAUGAUCUCAUUCCCGCCGUGGAUAAAGCAAAUGACGGAGUCCGGAGGGAGUGGGUUAUUGACUAAGUGCUUAAUUAGGCGCACAGCCCUUAUGCGGUCAUUCUGGAGCAGUCAAGACAACUGGACCGUGGCGUGGCAAAGCCAUGCAUUGCGUCUGCGCUUAUUUGCCUGCACCACAGCGAUCGGUGUUAAAGCUGGAGACAAGCACACUGUGCGCACUGACGUAGCUGUGCAAAGCAGCAGCCGGUGCCGAGGCAUCCGCUCCAGGGUAGCAUUAUCCACACCCGAGGGUGGGCGUGGCGCCGUCUAGAAACGUCCAUGCUCCAGAGAGAAGCCCUUCUGCAUCCCAGAGUGCAAACCCACUUACUCUCUGAGCCUGACUUUGGCUUGUGCAGCCGUGAGCCCUGGCGGUACAGGGACCACUGUCCAAUCAGAGGUCAGAGGUUAAGGCUUCUGCACUCAUCGUGACCGGGUGGCGCCCUCCGUCCACUGCCCUUUCCUGAGAACGGAGGGCGUGGGGGUGCAGGCAGCAGAGGUGUGCCUCAGGCAUCUCGAACGCAGGCUCCUCAAACGCUCCUGCGCACACAGAUCGCCCAGGAAUGCGGCUGAAACGCCGAUUUGGGUUGAGCAGGUCUGGAGAGAGUCCUAGGAGCCUGCAUUUCUGGAAGGUGUGGCUGGACAAGGUGGAAGUAGUGAGGUCUUAGUGGGAGGGGGGCUCCCACCCUCACAGCCAACUCACAUGGGGCUGGGACGGGACAAAAAAAAAUGAGGCAGGUGACGUUUCGGUGACAAGAUUCACUGGCAGCUGGAGAGGAGCCGGAGAGGAGGCGGAGAACAAGACAGUUGUCCCCUGAGCCAAGCGGCCUGUCUAGGCCGGCUUCCCUGCCGGGCCUGCUCUUCACUGGACCGAAUAAGCAGGUGACCCGAGGGUGGAAGCCAACGCGGUCAGCCCUGACGCCCUGUGUGCUUCUUCCGCCUUUUCAAGACAAACCCCAGGGGCCGGAGUGCCCUGGAACGUGCAGAAAGAGCAAGGGCGAGGAAGGACAAAAGCGCGCUCAGCCACACGAUUAACCGAGUCAAUGAACCCCGGGUCCCCGCAGAGCUGGAGAAAGGGAGGCCCAGAGCCAGAGCCCGGCCCAAGUCUGUCUUUUACGACUUUGUCUUCUUAUUAUCUUGGUAACAGGGCUCUUUUAUUAGCUUGCCGUCUCCUGCCAACUUGAUGAAAUCUCCAUUAUGUUUUAUAGCUCAAAAUAAGAGGAUAAGAGAAGGUUUUAACCAGCAGACCGAUCUCGUCUUCGUUUUGGGAGCCUGUCUCCCUGCCCCCUCUCUCUCCGUGCGGGGUGGAGAUGGACUCUUUGGCGUGUCCCAGGUCACUGUGCAUUUUCUCUUUGCCAGGAAGAGGGGCAUUUAUCUUGUGCUUCGCGAUUCUGCAUGCUGGGUCUCGCACGUGGGCACCCUCUGUUUGGCAGCCCACCUAUGACUACUGCUGCCUUGUGCUGUGUUUUCCAGGGCUGUGCCAAUGAAGCCGUGUGAGAGGCCAGGGGCAGUCGUGUCUCUGCAGAUGAGAACAAUCCCAGACACGCAGACAGUCACGUGCGGAGGACUCCAAGUAUUUCCACCUGUCUUUGCAGAAUUUAGAGAAAGAGCAAAUAAGCAUGACCCCCCUGGCUGCAUUUUCGGACAUCUUACUGCUAAGGAGCUGUUGGGCAAAUGGCCGAAGCUCUCCACUGGUGACGUUUGCUGCUGUUGUCUGCUCCCAUGUCUCUGCCGCCCCCUGACAUUGACUGGCCGGUCAGGGUCGCAGAAGGAGGUCCGCAGCUGCCCGCACCGCCUGCGCCGCCCGCCUCCCUGCGCUCUCCCCCCAGCCCCUGCUCCAGCUGCACCCUCCUCUCUGGCAUGGAAGCUCCCCCACCCCCAGCCUCCUUUGGGUUCUCCUCCCAACAUCAGCCUCUGACAGGCGGUCCCCCUGCCGGGAAUCUCUCUUCUUCAUUUCUUCAUCACUUUUCGGAUCCAUGUAGGCCUCCCUGCCACACGCAACUGGAGCACCCCAGGCCUCUCGUUUCCUAAUGUGAACCUGAGAGCACAUGCGGAAGAGGUGCGAGUGUCUUUUUAAAAAGAUUCCUUCAUUCAUCAUCCAUUUGAAAGGCAGAGCAACAGAGAGGGAGGGAGGGACAGAGAUCUUCCAUCCGUUGGUCCAUUCCCCAAACGGCUGGUGACCCAGGCAGUGGCUUAACCGCUGUGCCAGAAGGCCAGCCCCACAAAAUGUCAUUUAAGAUGCGGCUUCAGUUCCGGUGGCGGUGACCAAGUGAAUGCACACGACCAGCUGUGCUGGAGGCGGCGCUGAAUUCAGGCUCCUAAAUGCUAAGUCUUUGGCAUCCUCUGUCCUUUCCAAGCCUGUCUCAGAUGCAGAAGCAGCAUCCUGCACCGGCCCGUCACUGACACCUGGCGGCGUGGUCCUGCUGCGCUCCCACGGGGAAGGCCACGGAUCGGCAUGGAAUGACAGCCCCUGGUUCCCGGCCUACCAGGGCCCACCUUAGAGAAGAGGUGUGGCUAAGGCACUCACAGGCCCUGUUUGCUGCAGAUCACAGAGAAAGCAUGAAAAGAAACCCUCUUGUAACAGCACUACCUGGCAGUGUCUCAAGGUUGGGGUGUGUAAUAAAAUGAACCAGGUUUGAUGCUGGCA